GUUUGAUCGUGGCUCAGAGUGAACGCUGGCGGCAGGCCUAACACAUGCAAGUCGAACGGCAGCGCAGCAGUAGCAAUACUGUGGGCGGCGAGUGGCGGACGGGUGAGGAAUACAUCGGAAUCUACCUUGUCGUGGGGGAUAACGUAGGGAAACUUACGCUAAUACCGCAUACGACCUACGGGUGAAAGCGGCGGACCGCAAGGCGUCGCGCGAUUGGAUGAGCCGAUGUCCGAUUAGCUAGUUGGCGGGGUAAGAGCCCACCAAGGCGACGAUCGGUAGCUGGUCUGAGAGGAUGAUCAGCCACACUGGAACUGAGACACGGUCCAGACUCCUACGGGAGGCAGCAGUGGGGAAUAUUGGACAAUGGGCGCAAGCCUGAUCCAGCCAUGCCGCGUGUGUGAAGAAGGCCUUCGGUUGUAAG
rnacentral:rRNA from 1 species